rnacentral:rRNA from 1 species
UACGAAGGGGGGCGAGCGUUUGUUCGGAAUUACUGGGCGUAAAGGGCGCGUAGGCGGCGAUCCUAGUCAGAUGUGAAAGUCCUGGGCUUAACCUGGGGACUGCAUUUGAUACUGGAUUGCUUGAAUUCGGGAGAGGAUAGCGGAAUUCCCAGUGUAGAGGUGAAAUUCGUAGAUAUUGGGAAGAACACCGGUGGCGAAGGCGGGCUAUCUGGACCGACAUUGACGCGUGAGGCGGCGAAAGCGUGGGGAGCAAACAGG